AUUGAACGCUGGCGGCAGGCCUAACACAUGCAAGUCGAACGAGUGGCGGACGGGUGAGUGAUGUCUGGGAAACUGCCUGAUGGAAGGGGAUAACUACUGGAAACGGUAGCUAAUACCGCAUACCAUCAGAUGUGCCCAGAUGGGAUUAGCUUGUUGGUGGGGUAAGGGCUCACCAAGGCGACGAUCCCGAGCUGGUCUGAGAGGAUGACAAGCCACACCGGAACUUAGACACGGUCCCGACUCCUAUGGGAGGCAGCAGUGGGGAAUAUUGCACAAGGGGCGCAAGCCUGAUGCAGCCAUGCCGCGUGUAUGAAGAAGGCCUGCGGGUUGUAAAGUACUUUCAGCGGGGAGGCGUUACCCGCAGAAGAAGCACCGGCUAACUCCGUGCCAGCAGCCGCGGUAAUUC
rnacentral:rRNA from 1 species